ensembl:lncRNA
AUGCAAUGGGGAGGUGUUUCAUUUCCAGACCACAUUUGCAGAAAGGGUAUAAAAGCGCAGCUGUCCCAGAGAGCCUCAUUGAAUCCUCAUCCCUUCAUUGCACGAGCACUUCGGGCCACCCCAGCACAUAAGGAUGUGCUCCCGCCAGGAGAAGGACCAUUGCCACAAGCAGGAGCGCUACGUCCAACAGAGCAGCGGUUGCUGCCACAGCUCUGGUGGUGGCUGCCACAGCUCCGGUGGCGGUGGUGGCUGCCACAGCUCCGGUGGCGGUGGUGGCUGUCACAGCUCCGGCGGCGGUGGCGGCUGUCACAGCUCUGGCGGUGGCGGCUGUCACAGCUCCGGUGGCGGUGGCUGUCACAGCUCCGGUGGCUCCGGCUGCCACGGGAAGCCGCAGGUGGUGUACCACCAGCAGCAGCAGCAGCAGCAGCAGGUCCACCAGCUGCCCUCACAGAAGCUGAAGUGAUGGAGCAUCCUGUGCGGCCCCACUGCGGCAGCAGAGCCCAUGCACGGACCAGUUCCGUGCGGCCUCCCCGAAGCUCUGCACGCCCCGGGGCACCCAGCUGCAGCCCCCCAGCUCUGACCCCCAGCUACAGCUGCCUGGGAUGGGCAUCGCUCCUGCUUCCCUGCCGCCUGAGCCACCAGGCUCUGCCUUGGCCCCAGGAGGUGCCAGCAACCCAAUAAAGCAUCACAUUCUCACAUUUCUCUUGUCUCAGCGUUUCCUUAAGCUCCUCGUCCUUAUUUUCCAAUCAUGCUUAUUCCAUAUAUGCCUCUCUCGCUUUCAACCCUUGUGAUACUCUGACCACACUUGGUAUGUAUCAUCCCUGGGCACUCAACCCUGCUCUCCUCCACCAACUGGAUCCCAGGUGAUGGAGAAAACCCCAAAACCUCUCCACAUCCUUCAGGAAUGCCCAGCCCUGGGUUCCACUGGUGCCCCCACAUCCCCAGGGCUUUGCAUUCUUUUCCCAACCCAUGGGGCCUCCCCACUUCGACAGCUUUUUAGAUGCAGCCCUGAGCUGGUGAUCACCGGCUGGCUCACAGCAAUCAGGCAGGUUUUGUGUUGUAUAGGUUUUAUUACUUUUUUUAAUGGUAUCACAAUAUUUAUAUGAGAAAGACAAAAAUAAGCCCGAAACCCUUUUAGAUAUUUACAGUACAGUUAAGGCAGCUGAUGUAGCAACUCAUUCAGACAGGUAGCAGCUGAAGGACUGGAUCCUGCUCACAUCAGCUUGAGGGAAAUAUAUCACUGCAGCAAACAUCCAUCCUCGUGGUUAAGUGACCAUGAAGUGAAUCCUUAUCUCUGACUUUGCUCUCUGGCUUUCCAAAACUUAUAGACGAGGACAGGAAUAUCACACACCUGACAGCUAUCUGCAAUAUCUUUUUCCACUGGAGCUUGGGGUUUUCAGCAUCCCCUCCUUGCUAUUAAAGCAGCUUUGUUUUAUUGGUUUCUGUAUCAGGAGCAAAGCCUUAAUCAAGAAUGGAUGAGGAAAAGAUCUCCAUUCCUCAUCCUCUGAUCACUCACUGUCAGCAGCAUUUCUUUGUGCAUCUCUCUGCUCAUUACACAAAGACAUGGGUAAAAGCUUUCCUAAAAUUAAAAAAUAAAAAUAAUAAAAAAGAAUGCCGGGGUUCUCUU